rnacentral:SRP_RNA from 1 species
ACCACAUGUGGUAGCAUGUGCCUGUAGUUCCAGCUACUCGGGAGGCCGAGGCUGGAGGAUCGCCUGAGUCCAAGAGUUCUGGGCUGUAGUGCACUAUGCAGAUCGGCUGUCCACACUAAGUUCGGCAUCAAUAUGGUGACGUCCUGGGAGCGGGGGACCACUAGGUUGCCUAAGGAGGGGUAAACCUGCCCAGGUGAGAAAUGGAGCAGGUCAAAACUCCCAAGCUGAUCAGCAGUGGGAUCACACUUGUAAAUAGCCACUGUACUCCAGCCUGGACAACAUAGCAAGACCCUAUCUCUG